rnacentral:rRNA from 1 species
UACGAAGGGGGCUAGCGUUGCUCGGAAUCACUGGGCGUAAAGGGUGCGUAGGCGGAUUGUUAAGUCGGGGGUGAAAUCCUGGAGCUCAACUCCAGAACUGCCUUCGAUACUGGCGAUCUCGAGUUCGGGAGAGGUGAGUGGAACUGCGAGUGUAGAGGUGAAAUUUCGUAGAUAUUCGCAAGAACACCAGUGGCGAAGGCGGCUCACUGGCCCGAUACUGACGCUGAGGUGCGAAAGCGUGGGGAGCAAACAGG